rnacentral:rRNA from 1 species
ACGCUCGACACCUACGGGAGGCAGCAGUGGGGAAUAUUGGGCAAUGGAGGAAACUCUGACCCAGCAACGCCGCGUGAAUGAUGAAGGUCUUUGGAUUGUAAAGUUCUUUUCUAAGGGACGAAGAAAGUGACGGUACCUUAGGAAUAAGCCUCGGCUAACUACGUGCCACAGCCGCGGUAAUCUGAGCGGGCUGGCAAGC